GACGAACCGUCCUAACGUUGUUCGGAAUCACUGGGCUUAAAGGGCGCGUAGGCGGGUCAGCAAGUCCGGGGUGAAAUCUUUCGGCUUAACCGGAAAAGUGCCUUGGAUACUGCUGGUCUAGAGGGAGGUAGGGGCAUGUGGAACUUCCGGUGGAGCGGUGAAAUGCGUUGAUAUUAUUUGGAACGCCAAUGGUGAAAACAACUCGCUGGGGAAGUGCUGACGCUGAGACACGAAAGCCAGGGGAGCGAACGGG
rnacentral:rRNA from 1 species